CUACGUGUGGCAGCAGUGGGGAAUAUUGGACAAUGGGCGAAAGCCUGAUCCAGCCAUGCUGCGUGUGUGAAGAAGGCCUUCGGGUUGUAAAGCACUUUCAGUGGGGAAGAAAGCCUUGGGGCUAAUACCCUCGAGGAAGGACAUCACCCACAGAAGAAGCACCGGCUAACUCCGUGCCAGCAGCCGCGGUAAUACGGAGGGUGCGAGCGUUAAUCGGAAUUACUGGGCGUAAAGCGCGCGUAGGCGGUCUGAUAAGCCGGUUGUGAAAGCCCCGGGCUCAACCUGGGAACGGCAUCCGGAACUGUCAGGCUAGAGUGCAGGAGAGGAAGGUAGAAUUCCCGGUGUAGCGGUGAAAUGCGUAGAGAUCGGGAGGAAUACCAGUGGCGAAGGCGGCCUUCUGGACUGACACUGACGCUGAGGUGCGAAAGCGUGGGUAGCAAACAGGAUUAGAUACCCUGGUAGUC
rnacentral:rRNA from 1 species